UAAUACAUAGGAUGCAAGCGUUGCUCGGAAUUACUGGGUGUAAAGCGAGCGUAGGUGGUUUAGUAAGUCAGUGGUGAAAGCCCUCGGCUCAACCGGGGAAUUGCCCCUGAUACUGCUAAACUUGAGUAUGGGAGAGGAAAGCGGAAUUCCAGGUGUAGCGGUGGAAUGCGUAGAUAUCUGGAGGAACAUCGGCGGCGAAGGCGGCUUUCUGGACCAAUACUGACACUGAGGCUCGAAAGCGUGGGUAGCAAACAGGAUUAGAUACCCUGGUAGUCCACGCCCUAAACGAUGGGUACUAGAUGUGGGGACCGUUAGGUUUCCGUGUCGCAGCUAACGCAUUAAGUACCCCACCUGGGAAGUACGGCCGCAAGGUUG
rnacentral:rRNA from 1 species